rnacentral:rRNA from 1 species
UACGGGGGGGGCAAGCGUUGUUCGGAAUUACUGGGCGUAAAGGGCUCGUAGGCGGCCAACUAAGUCAUACGUGAAAUCCCUCGGCUUAACCUGGGAACUGCAUCCGAUACUGGAUGGCUUGAAUCCGGGAGAGGGAUGCGGAAUUCCAGGUGUAGCGGUGAAAUGCGUAGAUAUCUGGAGGAACACCGGUGGCGAAGGCGGCAUCCUGGACCGGCAUUGACGCUGAGGAGCGAAAGCCAGGGGAGCAAACGGG